UCUCGUUAUUUUUCUGUAAGUUGUAUAAUAUAAUUAGUGCUGUGUAUCUACUUGAUUGACCAUCGAUAGUUACAACUCGUAUAGUUGAGGUUCUGCCGUUCCUAAACUAUAAGUUUAGUAACUGCAUUUUUCAUUGUAUUUUGUUGUAGAAUUUAUUGAUGACUAUACAAUUGAGGCUGUACCAACCAGUUGGAUUAAAAAUGGUAUGUGUGUGCAUGACCUACUACAAAAAAAGAUUCUACUCUUAGAAAGCUGAUAGAAAGAAAAAGUCUUCCAAAUGACAUAGAGUAUAAUCAAUACAAGAUUAAAGUAUUAAAAACAACUAGUAAGAUUCAUUAAUAAAAGCAAGAGAAAUUACUAAAGAAGGACUUACAAAAACCGAUAUAUCAUCUACUGAAGAUUAUGAUUUAAAACAUAAACGUAAAUGCAAACAAAAGACAAUACUUCCAAUCACUAUGGAAUCAUUAUUAUGUCCUACUUAUUCAGCAUCUGAAGAUAAAUCCAAUGGCAAUUGUAAUAUUGAUAUUGUUGCUACAUUUCAAGUCACUGAGCCACGAGUAAAUGGUUGGUUACCUUCUCCGAACAAAUUAAAAAGUUCUCAAACUACAAACUCUAGUAAAAAUAAAUAUUUAUGUUCAAAACCCUCAGUUUCCAGACAACUUUCAUAUACUAGUUUGACAAGAAAAAAAAAAUUAUGUCAAAACCUUUAACAAAUGAUAAAAUAGAUAUUGAUGAUAAUAUAUUUGGAAGUGAUGAUUCAAUAACAGCUCUACCAUCUGAAUCACAGUCAUCCAGUCAUGUAAAUCUAGUCAAUUUGUUUUUAUAUACUAGAAGAAAUUCAGAAAAAUGUAACCAGCAAGAUGAAUAUAAUAUCAUCAAUAGAAAAACAAAAACUGCCGCAAGCUUCACACGUGAUCGAUACACCAACCGCAUUAACUACUGGCUAAACAAAUUGUCUUAAUAAUAGGCAUAUAUCAAAUAAAUUACUAACUAAAAUAAGAAUAACUUGGGAAUAAAUAAUUACAAUUAGUUUUAAUGGUUGAAUUAGUUUAUAUUAAGUUGAAUUCAUUUUUUCUAUUGGUGUCAUUCAAUCAAAUAGUGUUAUUACAAAAUAAAGUCCCUAUAUUAACUUCUUUAAUAUCAUAUCAAUGAUAACAAGCUGGGUUGUUCCGUAGCUCCUUGAAUUUGUAUGUUUUAUUAUUGUGGUUUUAGAUUAUUUUAAGAAAGACAUAAUUGUGUUUUGUAAGAUGGAAAUAAUUAAAUACACAAAAUUUGACUUAGAAGAAAAAUAAAAGAUAUUUUAAGAAAAUACCAUAUAUUUGCACACUUCUUAGCAUUUUUGUUGCGUAUUAGUAUGUUUAUAAUUGUAAUAUUAUUGGUCUAUGUUUUGUUUAGAUAACUUUUUGGGUAUUUAUUAAUAUUCUCAUACUAUUAUGAUUAACAAAAUAAAACUACAAAACUAUAUCUAUUAACUAUUGAGUGUUAAUUUCUUCAUAAACAUAUUUCAAAUAUCUUUAUAAUAAAGUCUAGUUUCUUACUAUACUGAUUGGAUUGUGAUUUUCAAUAAGAGGUGCUGUAUAGAUUGGCUUAUGUAAAACAUGAACUUAAAAGACUUGUCAAUAAUCAAAUGGACAUUGUACAAAGAAUUGAAUCAAUUGAAACACGUCUUGAAGUUAAAACCAUUUCAAGUACAAGUAGCAACUGUAAUAAUACAUCAUCAUUAAAUGAAAUAAGUGAUUGCAUUUUACCAUUGGAUAACACAACAGACCUUGAUACAUUUAAUGACAAAAUAUCUGUAGAUAGAUCCUUUCAAAUUAAUUUGGACUAAUCAACAGUUAUAUUCGUGGAAAACAUUUCAAAUUGAUUAUCAAAAGAAUUAUGAACAAGCUAUUUCCGGAUGAGUUAUUACAACACUUUUCAUAUUCUUGAAAAUCUGGAAAGAAGUUAAAAUUUUCAAAUUUAGCUGUUUGUUCUGUAAUUUUAAAUGCUGUUAAACAACAAUCCAAGUAUAAAAAUCAAGCUUCUGAAAGUGAAAUGAAAGAAGUGAUUAAAAAUGUCCUAGUUCAAGCAUCUUUUAACAUAAAAAGGAAAAUACUACAAUAAAUAUAACCUACCAUUUGUAACAAUUGCAGUAUUAAAAUUAUUAUGUUUAAUAUUUGAUAUUUUUAAUAUUUUAUUAUGUAAUCUGCAAAUAUCAUAUUAAGUUUAUUAUAU